CCUACGGGAGGCAGCAGUGGGGAAUUUUGGACAAUGGGGGCAACCCUGAUCCAGCCAUUCCGCGUGAGUGAAGAAGGCCUUCGGGUUGUAAAGCUCUUUCAGCAGGAACGAAACGGUGGUCCUUAAUACGGGCUACUAAUGACGGUACCUGAAGAAGAAGCACCGGCUAACUACGUGCCAGCAGCCGCGGUAAUACGUAGGGUGCGAGCGUUAAUCGGAAUUACUGGGCGUAAAGCGUGCGCAGGCGGUUUUGUAAGACAGAUGUGAAAUCCCCGGGCUUAACCUGGGAACUGCGUUUGGAACUGGAAGGCUAGAGUGUGUCAGAGGGGGGUGGAAUUCCACGUGUAGCAGUGAAAUGCGUAGAUAUGUGGAGGAACACCGAUGGCGAAGGCAGUCCCCUGGACCUGUACUGACGCUCAUGCACGAAAGCGUGGGGAGCAAACAGGAUUAGAUACCCUGGUAGUCCACGCCCUAAACGAUGUCAACUGGUUGUUGGGAGGGUUUCUUCUCAGUAACGAAGCUAACGCGUGAAGUUGACCGCCUUGGGGAGUACGGCCCCAAAGGUUGAAACUCAAAGGAAAUUGACGGGGGCCCGCCACAAGCGGUGGAAGAUGUGGUUUAAAUUCGAUGCAACGCGAAAAACCCUUACCUACCCCUUGACAUGUCUGGAAAUUUGCAGAGAUGUGAAAGUGCUCGAAAAGAGAGCCAGGAACACAGGUGCUGCAAUGGCUGUCGUCAGCUCGUGUCGUGAGAAUGUUGGGUUAAAGUCCCCGCCAACGAGCGCAAACCCUUGUCCUUUAAUUGCCAUCAUUUAGUUGGGGCACUUUUAAUGAGACUGCCCGGUGACAAACCGGAGGAAGGUGGGGAUGACGUCAAGUCCUCAUGGCCCUUAUGGGUAGGGCUUCACACGUCAUACAAUGGUCGGUACAGAGGGUUGCCAACCCGCGAGGGGGAGCCAAUCCCACAAAGCCGAUCGUAGUCCGGAUCGCAGUCUGCAACUCGACUGCGUGAAGUCGGAAUCGCUAGUAAUCGUGGAUCAGAACGCCACGGUGAAUACGUUCCCGGGCCUUGUACACACCGCCCGU
rnacentral:rRNA from 1 species